rnacentral:rRNA from 1 species
AAUCAACGCUGGCGGCGUGCCUAACACAUGCAAGUCGAACGAGAAAGUGGAGCAAUCCAUGAGUAAAGUGGCGACCGGGUGAGUAACACGUGACUAACCUACCCUAGAGUGGGGAAUAACCUCGGGAAACCGGGGCUAAUACCGCAUAACAUCGCAGAGGGAAGCUCUUUGCGAUCAAAGGAGUAAUUCGCUCAAGGAGGGGGUCGCGGCUGAUUAGUUAGUUGGUGAGGUAACGGCCCACCAAGACUUAGAUCAGUAGCCGGCCUGAGA